ACACUAGUGACCGGAGCAAUCUAGCGAAGGUCACAAAUUUGACACUUUCUGUUGUACCAAAGUCCUCACUAAUUUGGUGCAUCAACAUUUGGCGCCGUCUGUGGGAACGACACUUAUUCCCACUCUCUUCAACUUUGCCAAGCUGGUUUCCACCAUUCGUACACUCUCUUUUGACCAAGCAUCCCUCUCCAACAUGGGGAGUGAAGGAAGCCACAGCACACAUAAUGAUACCUCUCUUGCACUUAGUGCGAAACAAUGAAAGAA
rnacentral:lncRNA from 1 species